rnacentral:rRNA from 1 species
AUUGAACGCUGGCGGCAUGCUUUACACAUGCAAGUCGAACGGUAACAGGCCGCAAGGUGCUGACGAGUGGCGAACGGGUGAGUAAUGCAUCGGAACGUGCCCAGUCGUGGGGGAUAACUGCUCGAAAGAGCAGCUAAUACCGCAUACGAUCUAUGGAUGAAAGCGGGGGACCGUAAGGCCUCGCGCGAUUGGAGCGGCCGAUGUCAGAUUAGGUAGUUGGUGGGGUAAAGGCUCACCAAGCCAACGAUCUGUAGCUGGUCUGAGAGGGCGACCAGCCAAACUGGGACUGAGACACGGCCCAGACUCCUACGGGAGGCAGCAGUGGGGAAUUUUGGACAAUGGGGGCAACCCUGAUCCAGCAAUGCCGCGUGCAGGAAGAAGGCCUUCGGGUUGUAAACUGCUUUUGUACGGAACGAAACGGUCUGGGUUAAUACCCUGGGCUAAUGACGGUACCGUAAGAAUAAGCACCGGCUAACUACGUGCCAGCCGCCGCAGUAAUAC